rnacentral:rRNA from 1 species
AUGUAUAGCAAAGCAACUCGCAUCAUGUCCUAUUGUCAGCUAGAGUUGGAUUGCCUAUAUUCAGAUUUGGUAAGCCAUGGUCCUGAAGGGGAAUACUCUAAGAUGGCCCUCUUUUGCAUAUUAAGUUUUGACAUCGAAUUUGCUGGUCGCAAAGGAUACUUCCCAGAACCAAAUCAUGAUCCGGUUAUUCAAGUUUAUUUUAUUACCUUUGUAUUUUGA